rnacentral:lncRNA from 1 species
CCAAUGGCCUGGCCAAGAAUGUUGAUGUCACAAGGAAAGGGAACAGAGUUUGAUUGUGUGUCACAUAGAACUGGGAACAGACUGCUGUACUUAGAGGGACGUCCUUAUCAAUUAGGUAAUGUCUGCUAAUGAUUGAGGAGCUGUGUUAGGCAGUGCUCCAGCUGUUGAUAUGUUAGCAAACAUCUGCAAAGGGCACUCGUACCUUGUGGGAAAAACUUUUCUUAGUCUGGAUCCCACUGGUCCAAGCCCUGAAAGACUGGCAGACCCAACAGCAUCUCACAGGGCAUCUGAAACAGAGGAACAUGGCAGAAAUGUGGACUGGGCACAGGAGGCAGCUCUGCUUGGGAUGUUGGUUCCAUCUCCAGGAGAUCAACAGCGCUAUGGGAAGAGGAAGGUGUGGCCAAGGCUCUGACAUUGCUGUGGUCUUCCAGAGAAUGGGCCAUCAGCAACAUCAUCACCACUUGCCUCCGUCUGGAGGUACUAGCAGGUCCUUUGUAGUUUGAAAAUGUCCGACAGAGCAUUACAACUAAAUCUUAAGAGGACCAUCAUACAGCGAGAGACAUUUUCUUCCUGUGCAUCCAAGCAAGAAGGCCUGUUUCACAGUCUUUUAAGCUGAUUCCUGAGUCUCCUACACACGCCUGAAUCAGAUGUGUGGGUGUUUCUGUGUCUGGUGUACCUAGAACAGGGCCAAUGGGAGGAAGUGACGCGCUACUGAACCUGUACUAACCGCAGGGAUUGGUUUGAAUAUUUAGAGUUACUUGAGACCUGAGGGUUAACAAUGUGCUAGGAAGAGACUGGCUUAUGAUUCAUUAUUUCAACCCUAAAAGGUUACACCUUAUUACAUUCAGAAGCACAACUUCACUAUGUUCAAUUUUAAUCUCUAUUCUUUGAGACUCUGCUCUUUGCCUUUCAGAUCUUGAUACAACCAACGAUCAAAAUAAUGGAAUUUCAGCCUGGAUGGGUUACACUAGCAACACCAGGGAGACAGAAGUGUCAGGAAAACAAAGACAGGAAAGUUUAUACGUGGGACGCCUACCACAGCAUGGCUGCCAAGCAGUGCCAUGUCCGCACCCGGGAUCCGAAGCAGCGAACCCCGGGCCGCCGAGAAGUGGAACGUGCGAACUUAACCGCUGCGCCACCGGGCCGGCCCCAUGGAUCACGCAAUUAUUAAGUGGAGGAUAUGGGAUUCGAACCCAGGCAUGUCUGGUUUACUCCAUCUGCAGGGAGCUUGCCAUCAUUUGACACUGUUUCGGCACAGCCUGAGCACCCUCCAAGUGGGCCGCUCUGGGAAAGCCACUUCCAGUUGGUGAAGUUGGCACGAGUGAUAAAACUUAUUUGACUUCUUGGCCUUCAUCAAAUUCCUUUCUUUGCAGAUGAAGAAACUGGGCCAAAGAGAGCUCUGUGAAAUGACUUGCCCAAGGUCACACAGGCAGUUUGUCCUGUGUGAGCCAAGACUGUUCAAAUUCUUGGUCCGUCUCACUGCAUGAAAACCCCUCAUCCUCCAAUCACUGGCCCCCACAACAACUUCGUUCCUCGGGCCUGAUCAGCUUGGGGUUUUUAGUAGCCUAAAGCCGUUAGGAUAAUUUCUUCUCUCUAAAUCACAGCCUGAUAGAAGUUGAAGGACGCACUUCCUGGGGCUGAAAGGUCUUGGGGAGGAAUGAGCGAGGCUAAUAUUACCCCCACUGCCUUUGGAUCUCUUCUAAAGACCCAGAUGCCACAUUACCUGUAACUCAAGUACUUAUAAAUUGGCUUCCCCCUAAUUUGACUUUUCUGAGGAAUCUCUGGAGACUUAACUCAUGUGGAAAAGUUCUUGAGAAUUUUCAGAGGGGGGCAGUCCAACUGCUUGUGCCCUAAACCAAUAUAAGCACAAACCCAGGGUGAGAUUAUUUUCCUUACGGUUGAGAAUUAGAAACUGCUCCAGUGAGAGGGGACUUUUAAGAGGCCCAAGGAGGGAAGUGAGUUACCCGAGGUCACAGAGUAGGUCUGUGGCAAUUAAGGGCUCAAGAGCCAGACUGCCUGGGUCCAACCUUAGGACACCUCCUUAUUGGCUGUGUGACAUUGGGCAGGGUAGCUACUGUCUCCCCAGGCCUUGGUUUCCCCAUCUGUAUUGGAAGUAAUGUAUGGUGGAUUAGAGAGGUCUACAAAUUCUUUGAUACUUUUCUACUCAAGAGAUGCCACCUAUUUCCCCUCUCUUUAAAUCUGAGUUGGCUUGUGAUUGUUUUUUGUUUUGAAGAAGAAGAUUAGCCCUGAGCUAACAUCCACCACCAAUCUUCCUCUUUUUGCUGAGGAAGAUUGGCCCUGAGCUAACACCCAAGCUCUAACAUCCAUGUUAGCUCAUCUAGAUAGAGCUAACAUCUUCCUCUAUUUUAUAUGUGGGACGCCUGCCAAAGCAUGGCUUGAUAAGCAGUGCAUAGGGCUGUGCCCAGGAUCCAAACCAGCAAACCCCUGCGCUGCUGAAAUGGAGUGUGCAAACUUAACCACUACGCCACUGGGCUGGCCCUGGCUUGUGAUUGUUUUGACCAAUAAAGUCUAGUGAAGUGUGAUAUGCCAGUUCUAGGUCUAGUCUUUAAAAGGAUUGUCAGGUUCUGCCUUGGGCUUAUGGAGCCCAAGACUGCCACAAAAGAGGCCACCAUGCUACGAGGAAGCCCAAGCCAGCCAUUUGAAGAGGCUGUGUGUUUGGGAAGAGGCCCAGGCAGCCUUUGGCUAUACCACCCCAAGCCUCUGGAGUCAUCUUAACUGAAGUCCAGACAUUAUUAAGCAGAGAUCAACACCACCUCUGUGCCUUGUCCAAAUUCCUGACUCACAGAAUCAGGAGAUAUAUUAACACUAAAUUGCCAUUUUCAACCACUAAGGGUAGUUUGUUAUACAGCAACAGAUAACCAGAACAGUGGUUCUCAGAGGGUUGUUGUGAGAAUUAUGAGUUGAUACACCCGUAAAAGUUUAGGGCAGUGCCUGGCACAGUUAGUGUUCAAUAAAAGUGAGUUACUACUCAUUCCACAAACAUUUAUUAUAUACCAAGUUGGUCUACACCCUGCACUAGCUGGGAGGGAUGCAGGGCUGAAUGGGAGCCAAACAAUUGGGCCUUUGUGGAAAUUAGGAUUAACUAGAACCUGGUCACAUACUUCAGUUAAGUAAGAAAUGUAUUUCCCCCACUCUGGGCCACCACAUUGUCUCUGUGUCUGGGGGAAGUAGAAGUCUCCAGCCUCGCACAGAAGGGAGCCGCCUGCCUGGACUCUGGGCAGGCCUGGAGGGGUUAAGUCCAUGGAUGUUGUCCCAUCGCUACGCUACUACAGCUGAAAAUUCAGCAGCUAUUGAUUCCCGGAUAAUCUAAUGCUGUUCACCUCAUACUGUGAGCAACUAGUGUUACAGUUUGUUCCAGGAACCAUGAUUUUGAUUCUUUUCUUUUCUUCUCCCUGUCUCCCUGCCAGUUACCUUAAGUAAAACCACUCAAGCUCACAAAACCUGUGCUGUCAUGCAAAAGAAAUUUGACUGCCUUAAGAAAAUCUAAUUAGAUUAAUUGAAGUAG